GCCCUUUGGACUUGCAUGUUAGUUCCUCUGUUGUACAUGUUGGCUGAGUGAAUUUUGGUCUUUGAUGGCAUGAUGAAAGCAGCAGUGGUCAAACAGGAGAUCUCACAGCUGCACCGUUUCCUAAGGAAUGAAAGUGUAAAGAGCCCUUUUUAGGACUUGUUUUUCUCAUUCUUUAAUAAGCACCGAACAUUUCUUUGAAGGGCAAAUCUUUCCUUAAAUAUGUGAGCAGACACGCACUGGUAACCUUUCAGUAGCUGCUGCUGCAGUAACUGCAUGUGGAUAGAAGGGAAAGCAGUACAGAGUGAUGAAUUUGUCCUAAAGUCUGUUGCAUCCUUCCAGGUGGCAGCCUCUGUCUCACAUUCUUAAAACAUCUGUUUAGCUUCUUGUCCUUGGAUUUUGUUUCCCUUUGAUUAAUGUGAUAGCCACGAAAUUCAGACAUGUUCUUGAUGGCCUUCAGUAGGAAAAACAACAAACCCAUAAUGCCGGACCAAUCAAUCACCAUUAGCAGAACAGAAACUUCUAAUAAGGAGGACGGUGUUAGUCAGUGCAAUGAAAUGUUGGUUCUGUAUGAGAAACAUCAUGCUUCUACCAGGGCUAUUUUGAAAAAACAGUUGAGGAUUUAUUGCCUAUAUAAUUAAAGUAUUUAUCUUCCAAUUUAAA